UCGCAGCCCGGCUUGAGCGGAAAUCCUUUUUCGCAUUGGACUAAGCUUUGGAAAAAGAUUGGUAGCGGAAGACGGAAAUAGC
rnacentral:sRNA from 1 species